GGUGAAUUAACACAUUUCUCAGACCUCAUCAAAGAAGUUUGUUUGUGCGGUGGAUGGUGAUUAAUAUAAAAAACUCACAACUGAUCAGAAUUCAGAGAAUAAGUCAAUGUAGUGUUAAAAACAAGGCUUAAUUGAACCCUGCCCCCCCCAAAAGACUCAGUGACCACGGUGGAAUAAGGGAAAGAAAGACUACAAGCAGAAAGCAAGUAUGUGGCACAGCACACCCCUGUGAUACCUCCCCGGUUCGUAUGUGCAACUUCCUCUGGCCGACCAGAUGGG
rnacentral:lncRNA from 1 species